CUCAUUUCUUGCAAAAUGGUAUUUCUGUACUGUUAAGUCGAUGAUCACGUUUUUAAAAACCUACAUCGAAUAGAUUAAUAAAGCGUUAGACUCGCUAAAGUCUAGCUAUGGCUAAAGUCUGAAGUGGAUAGCAAAAGAAAACCGUUAGAGGCAGACAGGCUAACUUUUUACUGUUCAUUAUAGUUUCACUAACGUCAAUCGUAAUGUCGACCGUCAGUAUUUAUCAGUAUUUAUCAGUAGAUUGUAAAUUAUUAGAAGUGUUAUAUCCUUUAGUAGUGUUUGUACUCUAGGCGCCAGUUAGCAUGUAACAGCAUGUGAAUGAAUGAACUGGCCACACUAGCAUGGUGCAUUUAUACCUGACGAUCUCUUUCAAGACAUUUGAAUAAAAAACGGACAUCAUGGUUAGUAUUUAUAGGGUCUGUACAUGUGGUCCCUAGCCUAGUUUGUCUGAGAAUUAAGUAGAAAUAUCCUUUAGAAGUGUUUGUACUUUAGGCGCUAGUUAGCAUGUAACAGCAUCUGAAUGAAUGAACUGACCACUACUGUAUGGUGCAUUUAUACCUGACGAUCUCUUUCAAGUCAUUUAAAUAAAACAUGGAUAUCAUGGUUAGUAUUUGUAGAGUCUGUAAAUGUGGUCCCUUGCUUGGUUUGUCUGAAAAUUAAGUGGAAAUAUCCUUUAGACGUGUUUGUACUUUAGGCGCUAGUUAGCAUGUGCCAGGUGUCAUACCAUUGCAGUAAUCAUCUCACUAAACACGUCUUUUCAUAUCCAAUCUGUUCAACAGAGUUUACCAGUCAGACCACUACACCUUUGCCAGCACCACCACCCAGCAAGCUUCAUCAACUCCAGCCAUGCCGAGUUUACCAGUCAGACCUACACCUCCGUCAAAUUCGCUCACAACGCUGCCAAUAACACCCCAGCAAGAUUUUUACAGACUUGUUCUGCAGCACUUCCGAACAAUUGAGGAGGAGCUGGGGUAAAGCAGCAGGUGGCUGUGAACACAUCUAUGCUGCAGAAGCUAGGUGGUGGUGGUGUGGCGGAUCUUGGCCUCGUGGAGGACAACAACAGGCCAUUGAGUAAUGUUGAGGACCUGGACGAGUUGGAGAGGCGGCUUGCAUCCGAUGCGGACCUGAAAAAUCAACUGGUGAACAUACUUGGGAGGGAAAACCACCGAGAUGCUGUUAAGAGGAUGCUGGGC